UAGAGUUUAGUUGUAGUGUGGUAGAGUUCAGUGGUAGUGUGAUAAAGUUUAGUGGUAGUGGGGUAGAGAUCAGUGGUAGUGUGGUAGAGUUCAGUGGUAGUGUGGUAGUGGAUAGAGUACAGUGGUAGUGGGGUAGAGAUCAGUGGUAGUGUGGUACAGUUCAGGGUUAGUGUGGUAGAGAUCAGCGGUAGUGUGGUAGAGUUCAGUGGUAGUGUGGUAGAGUUCAGUGGUAGUGUGGUAGUGGGUAGUGAUUAAUGGUAGU
rnacentral:lncRNA from 1 species